rnacentral:rRNA from 1 species
GACGAACGCUGGCGGCGUGCUUAACACAUGCAAGUCGAACGGAAAGGCCCUGCUUUUGUGGGGUGCUCGAGUGGCGAACGGGUGAGUAACACGUGAGUAACCUGCCCUUGACUUUGGGAUAACUUCAGGAAACUGGGGCUAAUACCGGAUAGGAGCUCCUGCUGCAUGGUGGGGGUUGGAAAGUUUCGGCGGUUGGGGAUGGACUCGCGGCUUAUCAGCUUGUUGGGGGGGUAGUGGCUUACCAAGGCUUUGACGGGUAGCCGGCCCGAGAGGGUGACCGGGCUCCAUGGGACUGCGAUACGGCCCAGACUCCUACGGGAGGCAGCAGUGGGGAAUAUUGCACAAUGGGCGGAAGCCUGAUGCAGCAACCCCGCGUGCGGGAUGACGGCCUUCGGGUUGUAAACCGCUUUCGCCUGUGACGAAGCGUGAGUGACGGUAAUGGGUAAAGAAGCACCGGCUAACUACGUG